rnacentral:tRNA from 1 species
GCCGGGGUCGCCUAGCCUGGUCGAGGGCGCCGGACGCGAUCCGGUCAACCCGGGUUCGAAUCCCGGCCCCGGCACCA